rnacentral:rRNA from 1 species
GACGAACGCUGGCGGCGUGCUUAACACAUGAAAGUCGAACGGAAAGGCCCUGCUUUUGUGGGGUGCUCGAGUGGCGAACGGGUGAGUAACACGUGAGUAACCUGCCCUUGACUUUGGGAUAACUUCAGGAAACUGGGGCUAAUACCGGAUAGGAGCUCCUGCUGCAUGGUGGGGGUUGGAAAGUUUCGGCGGUUGGGGAUGGACUCGCGGCUUAUCAGCUUGUUGGUGGGGUAGUGGCUUACCAAGGCUUUGACGGGUAGCCGGCCUGAGAGGGUGACCGGCCACAUUGGGACUGAGAUACGGCCCAGACUCCUACGGGAGGCAGCAGUGGGGAAUAUUGCACAAUGGGCGGAAGCCUGAUGCAGCAACGCCGCGUGCGGGAUGACGGCCUUCGGGUUGUAAACCGCUUUCGCCUGUGACGAAGCGUGAGUGACGGUAAUGGGUAAAGAAGCACCGGCUAACUACGUG